GACGGACGCUGGCGGCGUGCUUAACACAUGCAAGUCGAACGAGAGCGUAGAGAAAGCUUGCUUUUUCUACAAUCUAGUGGCAAACGGGUGAGUAACGCGUAAACAACCUGCCCUACGGAUGGGGACAACAGCUGGAAACGGCUGCUAAUACCGAAUACGUUCCGAAAGUCGCAUGACUAUCGGAAGAAAGGAUGGCCUCUAUUUAUAAGCUAUCGCCGGAGGAGGGGUUUGCGUCUGAUUAGCUAGUUGGAGGGGUAACGGCCCACCAAGGCGACGAGCAGUAGCCGGUCUGAGAGGAUGAACGGCCACAUUGGUACUGAGACACGGGCCAGACUACUACGGGAGGCAGCAGUGGGGAAUCUUCCGCAAUGGGCGAAAGCCUGACGGAGCAACGCCGCGUGAGUGAAGACGGCCUUCGGGUUGGAAAGCUCUGUUAUACGGGACGAUUAAUCUUGUGGUUAAUACCCAUGAGAAGUGACGGUACCGUAAGAGAAAGCCAGGGCUAACUACGUG
rnacentral:rRNA from 1 species